AGUGAACGCUGGCGGUAGGCCUAACACAUGCAAGUCGAACGGCAGCACAGUAAGAGCUUGCUCUUACGGGUGGCGAGUGGCGGACGGGUGAGGAAUACAUCGGAAUCUACUUUUUCGUGGGGGAUAACGUAGGGAAACUUACGCUAAUACCGCAUACGACCUACGGGUGAAAGCAGGGGAUCUUCGGACCUUGCGCGAUUGAAUGAGCCGAUGUCGGAUUAGCUGGUUGGCGGGGUAAAGGCCCACCAAGGCGACGAUCCGUAGCUGGUCUGAGAGGAUGAACAGCCACACUGAGACUGAGAGACGUCCAAAGACCCUACGGAAGGCAGGAGUGGGGAUUAUUGGACAAGGGGAGAAAGCCUGAUCCAGCCAUGCCGGGUGGGUGAAGAAAGCCUUCGAGGUAUAAAGCCCUUUUGUGAGGAAAAAAAAGCAGAAGGUUAAAACCCCGCUGUUCCGGGGGGAACAAAAGAAAAACCACCGGCUACCUUGUU
rnacentral:rRNA from 1 species